rnacentral:rRNA from 1 species
CGAUGAAGCCCAGCUUGCUGGGUGGAUUAGUGGCGAACGGGUGAGUAACACGUGAGUAACCUGCCCCCGACUCUGGGAUAAGCCCGGGAAACUGGGUCUAAUACCGGAUAUGACCUCGCACCGCAUGGUGCGGGGUGGAAAGAUUUAUCGGUGGGGGAUGGACUCGCGGCCUAUCAGCUUGUUGGUGAGGUAAUGGCUCACCAAGGCGACGACGGGUAGCCGGCCUGAGAGGGUGACCGGCCACACUGGGACUGAGACACGGCCCAGACUCCUACGGGAGGCAGCAGUGGGGAAUAUUGCACAAUGGGCGCAAGCCUGAUGCAGCGACGCCGCGUGAGGGAUGACGGCCUUCGGGUUGUAAACCUCUUUCAGUAGGGAAGAAGCGAAAGUGACGGUACCUGCAGAAGAAGCGCCGGCUAACUACGUGCCAGCAGCCGCGGUAAUACGUAGGGCGCAAGCGUUAUCCGGAUUUAUUGGGCGUAAAGAGCUCGUAGGCGGUUUGUCGCGUCUGCCGUGAAAGUCCGAGGCUCAACCUCGGAUCUGCGGUGGGUACGGGCAGACUAGAGUGAUGUAGGGGAGACUGGAAUUCCUGGUGUAGCGGUGAAAUGCGCAGAUAUCAGGAGGAACACCGAUGGCGAAGGCAGGUCUCUGGGCAUUUACUGACGCUGAGGAGCGAAAGCAUGGGGAGCGAACAGGAUUAGAUACCCUGGUAGUCCAUGCCGUAAACGUUGGGCACUAGGUGUGGGGGACAUUCCACGUUUUCCGCGCCGUA